GAUGAACGCUGGCGGCGUGCCUAACACAUGCAAGUCGAACGGAGCCUUAACCAAAGAAGCAGCCAGCUUGCUGGAAGCGGAAAAGGGAAAGGCUUAGUGGCGGACGGGUGAGUAACGCGUGGGUAACCUGGCCCAUACAGGGGGAUAACACUUAGAAAUAGGUGCUAAUACCGCAUAACAACAGAAAGCGCAUGCUUUUUGUUUGAAAACCAAGGUGGUAUGGGAUGGACCCGCGUCUGAUUAGCUGGUUGGCGGGGUAAAGGCCCACCAAGGCGACGAUCAGUAGCCGGCCUGAGAGGGUGGACGGCCACAUUGGGACUGAGACACGGCCCAA
rnacentral:rRNA from 1 species